UUACGGUCAUUUCACGUUGAAACACCGAUUCCCUUACAAUCACCAAAGUUAAGCAACGUCGAGCCUAUUCAGUACCUGGACUGGUGACUGUUUGUGAAACCCAGGUGGUGUAAG